GUGGGGAAUUUUGGACAAUGGGCGCAAGCCUGAUCCAGCAAUGCCGCGUGCAGGAAGAAGGCCUUCGGGUUGUAAACUGCUUUUGUACGGAACGAAACGGUCCGGGUUAAUACCCUGGGCUAAUGACGGUACCGUAAGAAUAAGCACCGGCUAACUACGUGCCAGCAGCCGCGGUAAUACGUAGGGUGCAAGCGUUAAUCGGAAUUACUGGGCGUAAAGCGUGCGCAGGCGGUGCUGUAAGACAGGCGUGAAAUCCCCGGGCUUAACCUGGGAAUUGCGCUUGUGACUGCAGUGCUGGAGUGCGGCAGAGGGGGAUGGAAUUCCGCGUGUAGCAGUGAAAUGCGUAGAUAUGCGGAGGAACACCGAUGGCGAAGGCAAUCCCCUGGGCCUGCACUGACGCUCAUGCACGAAAGCGUGGGGAGCAAACAGGAUUAGAAACCCCUGUAGUCC
rnacentral:rRNA from 1 species